rnacentral:rRNA from 1 species
UACGAAGGGGGGCUAGCGUUGCUCGGAAUCACUGGGCGUAAAGCGCACGUAGGCGGAUUGUUAAGUCAGGGGUGAAAUCCUGGAGCUCAACUCCAGAACUGCCUUUGAUACUGGCGAUCUCGAGUCCGGGAGAGGUGAGUGGAACUGCGAGUGUAGAGGUGAAAUUCGUAGAUAUCGAGAGGAACACCUGCGGCGAAGGCGGGUUGCUGGGCUGACACUGACGCUGAUGCGCGAAAGCCAGGGGAGCGAACGGG